CUGUCAUUUGGGCACGCCUAGUCUGCCACGCUAGGUGUUCCCUUUGGUUGCUAACUUCGGCCCUCUCCCAAUACUCAAAAAAAAAAAACACGUGGAGCACAGUGUAGAACAACGAUGUCAUCAACCACAUGGUUUUGCCUGAUUCGGCUCCUGAUUGUCGUCCUCAGUUUACUGUUCCUUGUCAGCAGCAGCAGCGUUACUGCACGUAACCCCAACGCACCUAGUGGUGAUCCGAACAACCCCGGUGCACCAGUGUGCAGUCCGUUCUCAUCUUCUUGUCAUCAUUAGCACCUGAUAGCGCAGCCGGGGAGCUCAUCCUCUGAUUGUACAAAAUGCAUAGAAUUUGAGAAGAUUAUCUGGUUUCCAAUAUAUGUGCUCAUCCUAAUUCUGCAUAUUUGAAAGAGACUGCAUUUAAUUUUCCAUUUCAGUAAACUUGAAUAAAUGUAAUAGGAAUUAGUAUAUCAAGGCCUUUCAACAGUGCAUUCGUUUGACGGAUUAGUCCAUCCAGUUCAUGUCACUUCCGCUCCUCAUAAUGUUAUUGCCCGCCACUUCUACAAUGGAUGGCUUGGAUGAAUAAAACGGGUUGUCUUUUGUCCGUGGGACACCCAUACUGAAGUACUAAACAUUAGAACCUGUGUGAGGCACACUUUACUCAUCGAAUUAACUAGUUCUAGGGAAAAAUUGUCUGGGGACACCGUUAGAACGUCUUUUGCUGUGCCCUAUCAAGAAAAUGUGACAAUGUCAAAAUUACAAUACAAUUGUAGCCAAAUUGAUAUUGGACAUAGAUACCCCCAUAAUUACCAAAGCGGUACAAAUGUACUACCUAUAUAUAUGGUAAUCGUUUUUCAUAGGUGUUCACUUUGCACAUGUGAAAUAAAUAGGCCAGGGAUCACAGCUAGACGAGUGGCUAAACAUGUUUAUAAACAACUUACCACUUGUCUAUAAUUUUGGUUUUGUAGUAAUGAUUGCAAUCCAUAUAUAGUGUUCAUUUGACAACAAAUCUUGGUUAAGUCAAGGCAUCUUACCCGCAUAGACAUCUGAAAUUGUGAGAACUUCUCAUCUAUGAUUCUUGUCCCGGCUGCACAUUGAACUUCUCUUUGCAAUACUCUCCUCCAAUGGCCAAUUUGAUGAGAAAUGGCAGAAAAAAUGUGAGAAUUGGUGGCCUCGGGUAGAUGGAGCAGAGGGAGGAGGGAUAUAUAAUGUACAAUUUUCACUGUGGGACCGCGUGGCUAGGGUUAGCAGUGAAAAUUAUUAUCACUGCCGAUUCGUUGUUAGGACCGGUGGUGAAAAUGACGCCGGUGUGUGGCACGAGCCGUUUUCACCGCCAGUUCCUUUUGAAGCCGGCGAUGAAAAUUUAUCACUGCCGGUCCUUUAAGAACCGGUGGUGAAAAUAGUUCAGGUAGUAGUGAAUGGUCACUCCUGGAGAAAAAGGCAAGCAUAUGGUACAAUUGUCUUCCAUGAGUGUUUAGUGACCAAUUUGAGUAGAAAAUAUUAUUACAUGAGCCAGCUAAUUCCCAUAGAAUUGUAGGGUCUUUCAGCAAAGCCAAUUUUUUUUAUAGUCUAUAGAAAAAGGCACCUUCUAAUGGUGCCCUCCAUCCGAUUUUACCAAGUCCUAGUCAAACCACGAAUGGCUUGGUCCACAAUACAUCGCACGCGGUGAAGACAAAAUAUUGCCUUCUCUCUUGUCUCGCAAGCAAUCGGUGACAUGGAACUAAUCCAACAAGACAUGAUAUACUAAUUUGGAUUAAAAAUAUUAGGGAUGUCUGGUAAUUGGUGGACUGUCUUGGCAUGUUAUUAACUAAUAUACAAGUCUAUUUAAUAAUUGAACGGUUGACAUCUAUGAAGAAAUUCGAGAACAGUUGGUGUAAAACAAUAUACUUUCACAUUGUUGUCCGUGUUGUGCUUGCGAGAAUAACGUGAAUGGAAUACUUUUUCAAAGCGUGCAUGAACGAAUCAUGUGAAUUGUGCAGUGGAAGAACAGGGUGAGCAGAAUCUCAAAAAGAAGAAGAAGAAGAAGAAGAACCGGGUGCUUGAGUAGUGACCGCCAUUGCCUUGGUACCGGCUGCCGUCGGAAAUUUCCGGGUCAUUCAAGCACGCGGACCUGCCGUUAGCUUCGAACUGCAUGUCCUUUGCUGUGGGCAUUAUUAAUUAUUGGAGAUGACACAGAAGUCAGAAGUGAUGACCCUUUACUUGCAAGACACAGUGAGCUGACCGCCCGGAGGCACCUUCCUCCGCAUCUCAGUAAUAAAAGAACAGUUGACUCAUUGACCGAAGCUCCUCUAUAUAUGUGAUGGAGCUGCUGCAGGAGAGCGAUGUUAUUAUUUGAGCACGCCGAGUCCAGCAUCUCCAAGUCGCGGAGCACACUGUAGAACGGCAACAAUGUCAUCAAACAUCUGCCCCUGCCGUCUUAGUCUCCUCAUUUUCGUCCUCAGUUUAUUGGCACUCCUAUAUAGAAGCAGCUUUGUUGCAGCUCGCCCACCUUGCGCCCCUGGCCAUGAUCCGAACAACCCCUGUCCGCCAUGGUGCAGUCCGCAUUCACCUACUUGUCAUUAGCACCUGACUCCUGGGAACCCGGGAGCUCAUCCUGAUUAAUGCAUAGACUAUCUGGUUAUUUCCUUUGAUCUGUUAAUAUAAAUAUGAACGAGAUUAUUGCAUUUUCCAUGUCAGUAAAGUCGAAUCAAUCGUUAUAUUUUUCUUGUAAUAG